rnacentral:rRNA from 1 species
CUUUUAACUGAGCACGUAUCGGACAAGGGNCGCCCGGGACCCGGUCCUCUCCUUUAACUAGGAAACUUCUAAGGUUGACCUCGGAUCAGGUAGGAAUACGCGCUGAACUUAAGCAUAUCAAUAAGCGCAGGAAAAGAAACCAACAGGGAUUACCUCAGUAACGGCGAGUGAAGCGGUAAUAGCUCAAAUUUGAAAUCUGGCCUCUCGGGGUCCGAGUUGUAAUUUGUAGAGGAUGUUUUGGGUACCGCCCCGGUCUAAAUUUCUUGGAACAGAAUGUCAAAGAGGGUGAGAAUCCCGUCUUGGACCGGCGGUAGGGCCUGUGUAAAACUCCUUCGACGAGUCGAGUUGUUUGGGAAUGCAGCUCAAAAUGGGUGGUAAAUUUCAUCUAAAGCUAAAUAUUGGCCAGAGACCGAUAGCGCACAAGUAGAGUGAUCGAAAGAUGAAAAGCACUUUGAAAAGAGAGUUAAACAGUAUGUGAAAUUGUUGAAAGGGAAGCGCUUGCAACCAGACUUGAGCGCGGCGGUUCCCCCGGUCUUUUGGCCGGGCUACUCCGUCGUGUCCAGGCCAACAUCGGUUCUGAGGGUCGGUCAAAGCCCUUGGGAAUGUAUCUA